UACAGAGGUCCCAAGCGUUGUUCGGAUUUAUUGGGCGUAAAGGGUGCGUAGGCGGUGCGGUAAGUCGGGUGUGAAAUCUCGGAGCUUAACUCCGAAACUGCAUUCGAUACUGCCGUGCUGGAGGACUGGAGAGGAGACUGGAAUUUACGGUGUAGCGGUGAAAUGCGUAGAUAUCGUAAGGAAGACCAGUGGCGAAGGCGGGUCUCUGGACAGUUCCUGACGCUGAGGCACGAAGGCCAGGGGAGCAAACGGG
rnacentral:rRNA from 1 species